AGGGGGAGAGAGAAUCACGGAGCAGAGACAGAAGAUGUAGACAGUGCUCCAAGGUGCUAAGGAAGAGAAUGAAUGAGGAGGUCAAGUCCCUUCCCUACUUCUGGUCCAGGCCACAUCAGGAGGAUGAAAGAAAUGAGACUGGAAGCAGGCAGGUGUUUUCAACUGGACUGGACUUUUAUGACCUGCAUGUUGGCAUCUGCUGAAGUCAUCCUCCCCAAAUGCAUAAGGUAAUAUACUUGAACGGGUUUAACUGAAGGCAGAAAAUAGAAGGGAACAAAAGGCUGCUUUCACAACCAAUAAAUCAGUUACACACCCAUUACACCACUGAAUCCUCAAAACAGUCAUAUGAGGUGGGUACUGUUAUCUCGGCCUUAGAGAUGAGGGAACCAAGGAUCCAGGAGAUCACGAAAUUUAAUCAAAACCGAAGCUAAUGAUUGAAUCGUUACUACUCAAAGCAACAUCACUGGCCAGCACUGCAUCCUCACAAGAGAGCUGGGGUUGCGCUCUGCUCAGGGCAGGCAGCUCCUCGCUCAGCUACCACUGGGCUGGCAGCAGCAAUAAGGAACUCACCACCUGCCCAGAUUUCUCAUUCCCUUUUCAGAUGGCUAUGGAAGUAAUAACUAGCUGCUCUUUGUUUUUUGUUUUUCAGUACUGAGGAUUGAACCCAGAGCCUUCACAAUAAGCUACAGUCUCAGCCUUAUUUUUAUUUUUUAUUUUGAGACAGAGCCUUGCCAAGUUGUUAAAUUGCCCAGGCUGGGCUUGACCUUUCCGUCCUCCUGCCUCAGCUUCCCAGAGUGCUGAGAUGAUGGGUGUGGGCUGCCACGCCUGAUUAUUAGCUACAUCUUUGUAGAGCUGUGGGGUGAACACUUAUAAUACUCAUUCAGUAAGUAUUUAUGGGGCACUUCUCACCAUCUGCCGGCUGUGCAAGGUGUCAGACCUCCACUGCUCUGAGAAGAGGGCUCCGUGGGCAGUUCUUCCAUCUGUCCUCUGCAGAUGGGUGUACACCUGGCUCAAACUCUGGAAUUCCCUUGCUGACUGCUUUUGAAUGGCUUCCAAGUCUACAUCCUGUGAUCUGGAGCCCCUCUGCAUUUCUGCCUAUUGAGCAUCAAGGUUUGGAUUGAAAUGUAUGUGGGUUAAGGAUAGACUUUACUG
rnacentral:lncRNA from 1 species